AGUGAACGCUGGCGGUAGGCCUAACACAUGCAAGUCGAACGGCAGCACAGUAAGAGCUUGCUCUUACGGGUGGCGAGUGGCGGACGGGUGAGGAAUACAUCGGAAUCUACUUUUUCGUGGGGGAUAACGUAGGGAAACUUACGCUAAUACCGCAUACGACCUACGGGUGAAAGCAGGGGAUCUUCGGACCUUGCGCGAUUGAAUGAGCCGAUGUCGGAUUAGCUAGUUGGCGGGGUAAAGGCCCACCAAGGCGACGAUCCGUAGCUGGUCUGAGAGGAUGAUCAGCCACACUGGAACUGAGACACGGUCUAGACUCCUACGGGAGGCAGCAGUGGGGAAUAUUGGACAAUGGGCGCAAGCCUGAUCCAGCCAUACCGCGUGGGUGAAGAAGGCCUUCGGGUUGUAAAGCCCUUUUGUUGGGAAAGAAAAGCAGCAGGUUAAUACCCCGCUGUUCUGACGGUACCCAAAGAAUAAGCACCGGCUAACUUCGU
rnacentral:rRNA from 1 species